rnacentral:rRNA from 1 species
AGUGGCGAACGGGUGAGUAACAUAUCGGAACGUACCAUUGAGUGGGGGAUAACGUAGCGAAAGUUACGCUAAUACCGCAUAUUCUCUCCGGAGGAAAGCAGGGGCUCGCAAGACCUUGCGCUCAUUGAGCGGCCGAUAUCAGAUUAGCUAGUUGGUGAGGUAACGGCCCACCAAGGCGACGAUCUGUAGCGGGUCUGAGAGGAUGAUCCGCCACACUGGAACUGAGACACGGUCCAGACUCCUACGGGAGGCAGCAGUGGGGAAUUUUGGACAAUGGGGGCAACCCUGAUCCAGCCAUGCCGCGUGAGUGAAGAAGGCCUUCGGGUUGUAAAGCUCUUUCAGCCGGGAAGAAAAUGCAUGGAUUAAUACCCUGUGCAGAUGACGGUACCGGAAUAAGAAGCACCGGCUAACUACGUGCCAGCAGCCGCGGUAAUACGUAGGGUGCGAGCGUUAAUCGGAAUUACUGGGCGUAAAGCGUGCGCAGGCGGUUGGUUAAGAUAGGCGUGAAAUCCCCGGGCUCAACCUGGGAACUGCGCUUAUGACUGGUCAGCUAGAGUACGGCAGAGGGGGGUGGAAUUCCACGUGUAGCAGUGAAAUGCGUAGAGAUGUGGAGGAACACCAAUGGCGAAGGCAGCCCCCUGGGUCGAUACUGACGCUCAUGCACGAAAGCGUGGGUAGCAAACAGGAUUAGAUACCCUGGUAGUCCACGCCCUAAACGAUGUCAACUAGGUGUUGGGAGGGUAAAACCUUUUAGUACCGUAGCUAACGCGAGAAGUUGACCGCCUGGGGAGUACGGCCGCAAGGUUAAAACUCAAAGGAAUUGACGGGGACCCGCACAAGCGGUGGAUGAUGUGGAUUAAUUCGAUGCAACGCG